CCACUUAUAAUUUUUUUGAAUUCCAUACAAUGUAGUUUUUUAGAAGUAAAUAAAUUAUACAGUUGAACCGGUGAAUCGCAUAUAAAAAGUUUAACUUUUCCAUUUGAACAACAAAACCCUUUACUUUCUCUAUAAAAUUUACAUGCAUUACAAUGUUUACAAUAACUGGAUGUUGGCAAUACAUGUGCAGUAGAUGAUAUAUUCAAUCUUUUGAAAGUUAUUUCAAAUUCAGAAUAAAAAAUAUUGUGUGAUUUUUGAUUUGAAGUUGAAGCGUUAGAAUUUUGAUGGAUUAUGGAUUCAUGUAGCUGAGUAACAACAAAAUAAUUAUUUUCUGAUAACAUAGGAUCAUUUCUUCUUUUAUGAUAAUCACUACAAUUAUUUCUAAAUCUUAUUCGCCUUUCUCUCUUUCUUUGAACUUGUUGUUGGCGACUGAAGGCUCUGUGCAACUCAUUCCCACUUUCAAACGUAGCAUCGAAGUUAACAAUAACAUGAUCUUCAUGAAUAGACGUUUCCAAAAUAUCCAUCACGAUAGCAGAAAGAACUACUAAAUAUUUCAACUCCAAUCUAAGCAAUACAAUCUAAAAUAAUCCAUAAACAUUAUUACCAAAUGUGUUAAACCAUU
rnacentral:lncRNA from 1 species